GGUCUAUGUGUCUACUUUUAUACCAGUACCAUGCUGUUUGAUUACAAAUACUACAAUUAUAUUACCUUGUAGUAUAAUUUGAAGUCAGCACUGGCUUUACUGACAGCCCCAGAAAAUACUCACAUUUGUUGAAUACCUGCUCUGUGUGAAACAGUGGGUUCAUGCACCUCUUUGCAGAUAGAUCAACCCAGGAAGAAGAUGAAUAGAGAACCAGUACAGGGCACUGUGAUUAAAACCUGGGUUCCAGAUCUAUAAAGAUCAACUAGGAAUGGAUUGCCCAUCUGUUUCCUUUCUAAGUGCACCAAGAUCAACUAUCCACUGCCAUAGAAAAUUAUCUUUUAACAGUUUUGGAGAUUUUCCACUAAGAUGACUAAUGGUUUUAUUUGCCAGAGCCAGGUAAAGUUUGCUGCCAAAAAAGUAUAACUCAUGGAUGAUUUGAACCCAGAGAUACCUGCUAAUGGUCUCUGGAUAACUAGAAAAUCACCCUAACAAGGCAUUCAUCUAUUUGAGAAAUAGCAAGAGAUUUUAGCUGAGAAGUACUGACACAUGGAAAUAUAAUUUGUAUGAUGAAAGAUUUGUGUGAGUGAAAAGGACUCUGAACUGGAAAUUCUAUUCCCAACCAAGACAUAAAUUCAACAAUUGGAUUAAAAAAUAGCUAUAAAUAUGUAAAAAAUCAGAGCAUAUAUUAAUCAAGCAGCCAUAAGAAGAAAUGACCUGAGGAAGACCAUUGAACACCAAAUGCAUUGGAACUGAAAUUUCAGUGCAGGAGAAGCAUUAGAUAAGCGGUUUUUAAAGAAGGAGUAGAAUAGGACUUUUUCUACUACCUGGCUGAAAGAAGUAUAUAAACCAAUCAUGGAGAUAUGAAACUAUAAAAUAACAACCUGAAAGAAUGGAAAGACAAAUGAACAGCAGAGGAGGAAUUACUAUUACCAUUGCAUAGAAAAGUACUACUCAAGUUCAGAGGACCCCUAAGUAGAGUCAGAGAUGAUCUGAAAAACUUUUACAAACAUGAUGAGACAUUACCAGAUCUGGAACAAGAAUGAGAAUGCAAUCAAAGGUCUGCAGUGAAUAUGAAGUGAGAUCAUGAAUAUAAAAGUGCUUUGAAAAUUGCCAAGUGCUUUAAAAGAGAAAGGAAUUAUUCUUUGCCUUUAUAGGAGUAAAGAUUUUAUUUCUAAAAGCACUUAGAACAAUUUGGAUAUUUACAUAAUAGCUAAGAAAAGUGCACUUGUGGCGGUGAGGAACAGAAAACCUAGAUUUUCACUUCCAAAUUUCUUUAUAUCAUCCACAGCAGUGCUUCAUUGUUCUGCACAAAGACUCAAGAUGAGGUGUCAGUGAACAGAAGCUUGAAAUCAUGCCUUCUCAAUCUCAAAUGUGAAUCGAAGAUGGUGUUUGCAAUGGAAUUAGAGCAUUUGACUUUCAGUUCUCAGCACUAACCAUUUCAUGACCCUUAUUCAUCAUACUACUCCAAAUGAGACAUUUAAUUAAGUGUGCUCGCAUUUUAAUACUCCACUUGAUUGGCUAUAAACCCAGGAAUGCGUGCAGAUCGUAUUGUACUCUUCUUCGUUAUCUUUUGCACCAUACAUUACUUUUCAUGUGAAGCCAUAACUGUAUGCUCCAUUAUGAGCUCUUCUGCUGGAAAUUCAGGCAUUCUCAUUCCACAUCCACAGCAGGAUGCUCACUGCAAUCAGACGAGUAAACUCAACUUCUGACAUUCCUGUUAACAUUACAUUAAACUUUGCAAUGCUGCAACUCCCUGACAAUACUGAAAAUAAAUUUCAG